AGACGGGUGAGUAACGCGUGGGGAACCUACCUCUUUGUGGGGAAUAACGUUCCGAAAGGAAUGGUAAUACCGCAUGAGACCUUCGGCUGGGAUGCUGGAGGUGAAACCCGGGGACCGUAAGGCCUGGGGCAAGGAGAGGGUCCUGCGUCUGAUUAGCUAGUUGGCGGGGUAACGGCCCACCAAGGCGACGAUCAGUAGCCGGCCUGAGAGGGUGAUCGGCCACACUGGAACUGAUACACGGUCCAGACUCCUACGGGAGGCAGCAGUGGGGAAUUUUGCGCAAUGGACGAAAGUCUGACGCAGCAACGCCGCGUGGGUGAUGAAGGUCUUCGGAUUGUAAAACCCUGUCGUCAGGGACGAAGGUUGGGGCCUUAAUAGGGUUUCAACUUGACGGUACCUGGAGAGGAAGCCCCGGCUAACUCUGUGCCAGCAGCCGCGGUAAUACAGAGGGGGCAAGCGUUAUUCGGAAUUACUGGGCGUAAAGGGCGCGUAGGCGGUUCUUUAAGUCGGAUGUGCAAUCCCCGAGCUCAACUUGGGAACUG
rnacentral:rRNA from 1 species